rnacentral:rRNA from 1 species
GGUCAUCAAUAUUUCGAACACCGCCGUGCGCUCCCGUGUCGCGAAGGAUGUCACUAAUAAAAACCCGAUGCCUCGCUUUUUGAAGAGCGGAGCUUACAACGCGACCCCAGGUCAGGCGGGGCUACCCGCUGAGUUUAAGCAUAAUCAAUAAA